rnacentral:tRNA from 1 species
AUUAGGGUGGCAGAGACCGGUAAUUGCAUAAAACUUAAGAUUUUAGACCCAGAGGUUCAAUUCCUCUCCCUAAUAUGU